rnacentral:rRNA from 1 species
CUAAUACCGCAUAUACUCUUGCUACACAAGUAGAGGAGAGGAAAGGAGUAAUCCGCUUUACGAUGAGCCUGCGGCCUAUUAGCCUGUUGGUGGGGUAACGGCCUACCAAAGCUACGAUAGGUAGCCGACCUGAGAGGGUGACCGGCCACAUUGGGACUGAGAUACGGCCCAGACUCCUACGGGAGGCAGCAGCUGAGAAUCUUCCACAAUGGACGAAAGUCUGAUGGAGCGACAUCGCGUGAGGGAUGAAGGCCUUCGGGUUGUAAACCUCGGAAAUUAUCGAAGAAUGAGUGACAGUAGAUAAUGUAAGCCUCGGCUAACUACGUGCCAGCAGCCGCGGUAAUACGUAGGAGGCAAACGUUGCUCGGAUUUACUGGGCGUAAAGGGUGAGUAGGCGGACUUAUAAGUCUAAGGUGAAAGACCGGAGCUCAACUUCGGGAACGCCUCGGAUACUGUAAGUCUUGGAUAUUGUAGGGGAUGAUGGAAUUCUCGGUGUAGCGGUGGAAUGCGCAGAUAUCGAGAGGAACACCUAUAGCGAAGGCAGUCAUCUGGGCAUUUAUCGACGCUGAAUCACGAAAGCUAGGGGAGCAAACAGGCUUAGAUACCCUGGUAGUCCUAGCCGUAAACGUUGUACACUAGGUGCUUCUAUUUAAAUAGGAGUGCCGUAGCUAACGUCUUAAGUGUACCGCCUGAGGAGUAUGCCCGCAAGGGUGAAACUCAAAGAAAUUGACGGGUCCCCGCACAAGUGGUGGAGCAUGUGGUUUAAUUCGAUGAUACGCGAAAAACCUUACCUGGGUUUGAAUUGUAAGAUGAAUGAUUUAGAGAUAAGUCAGACCGCAAGGACGUUUUACAUAGGUGCUGCAUGGCUGUCGUCAGCUCGUGUCGUGAGAUGUUGGGUUAAGUCCCGCAACGAGCGCAACCCUCACCCUUUGUUGCUACCGAGUAAUGUCGGGCACUCUUAGGGGACUGCCUACGUUCAAGUAGGAGGAAGGUGGGGAUGAUGUCAAGUCCUCAUGGCCCUUAUGUCCAGGGCUACACACGUGCUACAAUGGCAAGUACAAAGAGAAGCGAGACCGCGAGGUGGAGCAAAACUCAAAAAAGUUGCCUCAGUUCGGAUUGGAGUCUGAAACUCGACUCCAUGAAGUUGGAAUCACUAGUAAUCGUAGAUCAGAACGCUACGG